CGUGCCGGUCGGCGCAUCGCUCCGCCCGCCCGCUGGGGGCUGUCCCUCAGCGCAGCAGCGGCGGUGAGGAAAGUCCGAACGCCGCUGGGCACCGUGCUUCCUAACGGGAAGGCGCUCUUCCGAGCAACGGCUCGGACGGGCGACGGCUCGUGCCACAGAAAACAGACCGCCAAUGGCCCGCCCCCCGGCAACGGGUUUGCGGGCACAGGUAAGGGUGCAACGGUGCGGUAAGAGCGCACCGGCGUUUGCGGCGACGCAAGCGGCCCGGCAAACCCCACGGGGCGCAAGGCCCAGCAGCGCUGCACCGGCCCCCUGGGCCGGACACGGCGGCCCGUCGAAACGUUGCGGUCAGUAUUGCUGGCCGCCGGCGUUGCAGCGCGGGUAGGUCGCUCGAGGCGACCGGCGACGGUCGUCCAUAGAUAGAUGAUCGCGCUCCCCGGCGCUCGGUGCCCCUUCAGCGACGCCGGCGCGGGUAGACCGAAUUCGGCUUACAGACCGGUACGCCUC
rnacentral:RNase_P_RNA from 1 species